rnacentral:rRNA from 1 species
UUUGAUGUCAUAUAAAUAUAUUCGCCAAAGAUUAAGCCGAKGCAUGGUCUAAGUAUAAGCAAUUAUACCGUGAAACUGCGAAUGGCUCAUUAAAUCAGUUAUCGUUUAUUUGAUAGUACCUUACUACUUGGAUAACCCGUGGUAAUUCUAGAGCUAAUACAUGCUAAAAACCCCGACUUACGGAGGGGUGUAUUUAUUAGAUAAAAAACCAAUGCCCUUCGGGGCUCCUUGGUGAUUCAUGAUAACUAUACGGAUCGCAUGGCCUUGCGCCGGCGACGGUUCAUUCAAAUUUCUGCCCUAUCAACUUUCGAUGGUAAGGUAUUGGCUUACCAUGGUUUCAACGGGUAACGGGGAGUUAGGGCUCGACUCCGGAGAGGGAGCCUGAGAAACGGCUACCACAUCCAAGGAAGGCAGCAGGCGCGCAAAUUACCCAAUCCCGACACGGGGAGGUAGUGACAAUAAAUACUGAUACAGGGCUCUUUUGGGUCUUGUAAUUGGAAUGAGUACAAUUUAAACCCCUUAACGAGGAACAAUUGGAGGGCAAGUCUGGUGCCAGCAGCCGCGGUAAUUCCAGCUCCAAUAGCGUAUAUUAAAGUUGUUGCAGUUAAAAAGCUCGUAGUUGAACCUUGGGCCUGGCUGGCCGGUCCGCCUCACCGCGUGUACUGGUCCGGCCGGGCCUUUCCUUCUGGAGAGCCUCAUGCCCUUCACUGGGCGUGCUGGGGAACCAGGACUUUUACUUUGAAAAAAUUAGAGUGUUCAAAGCAGGCCUUUGCUCGAAUACGUUAGCAUGGAAUAAUAGAAUAGGACGUGCGAUCCUAUUUUGUUGGUUUCUAGGACCGCCGUAAUGAUUAAUAGGGAUAGUCGGGGGCAUCAGUAUUCAAUUGUCAGAGGUGAAAUUCUUGGAUUUAUUGAAGACUAACUACUGCGAAAGCAUUUGCCAAGGAUGUUUUCAUUAAUCAGUGAACGAAAGUUAGGGGAUCGAAGACGAUCAGAUACCGUCGUAGUCUUAACCGUAAACUAUGCCGACUAGGGAUCGGGCGAUGUUUCUAUUUUGACUCGCUCGGCACCUUACGAGAAAUCAAAGUUUUUGGGUUCUGGGGGGGAGUAUGGUCGCAAGGCUGAACUAG